GAGCGGCGAACGGGUGAGUAACACGUGAGUAACCUGCCCCUGACUCUGGGAUAAGCCUGGGAAACUGGGUCUAAUACCGGAUAUGACAUCUACCCGCAUGGGUGGGAUGUGGAAAGUUUUUUCGGUUGGGGAUGGGCUCGCGGCCUAUCAGCUUGUUGGUGGGGUAGUGGCCUACCAAGGCGACGACGGGUAGCCGGCCUGAGAGGGCGACCGGCCACACUGGGACUGAGACACGGCCCAGACUCCUACGGGAGGCAGCAGUGGGGAAUAUUGCGCAAUGGGCGGAAGCCUGACGCAGCGACGCCGCGUGGGGGAUGACGGCCUUCGGGUUGUAAACCUCUUUCAGCAGGGACGAAGUUGACGUGUACCUGUAGAAGAAGCGCCGGCUAACUACGUGCCAGCAGCCGCGGUAAUACGUAGGGCGCAAGCGUUGUCCGGAAUUAUUGGGCGUAAAGAGCUCGUAGGUGGCUUGUUGCGUCUGCCGUGAAACCCCGUGCUUAACUGCGGGUCUGCGGUGGAUACGGGCAGGCUAGAGGCUGGUAGGGGCAAGCGGAAUUCCCU
rnacentral:rRNA from 1 species